AGAGUUUGAUCCUGGCUCAGAUUGAACGCUGGCGGCAUGCCUUACACAUGCAAGUCGAACGGCAGCGCGGGCUUCGGCCUGGCGGCGAGUGGCGAACGGGUGAGUAAUACAUCGGAACGUGCCCUGUUGUGGGGGAUAACUAGUCGAAAGAUUAGCUAAUACCGCAUACGACCUGAGGGUGAAAGCGGGGGACCGUAAGGCCUCGCGCAAUAGGAGCGGCCGAUGUCUGAUUAGCUAGUUGGUGGGGUAAAGGCCUACCAAGGCGACGAUCAGUAGCUGGUCUGAGAGGACGAUCAGCCACACUGGGACUGAGACACGACCCAGACUCCUACGGGAGGCAGCAGUGGGGAAUUUUGGACAAUGGGGGCAACCCUGAUCCAGCAAUGCCGCGUGUGUGAAGAAGGCCUUCGGGUUGUAAAGCACUUUUGUCCGGAAAGAAAUCGCGCUGGUGCCAGCAGCCGCGGUAAUACGUAGGGUGCGAGCGUUAAUCGGAAUUACUGGGCGUAAAGCGUGCGCAGGCGGUUUUGUAAGACAGGCGUGAAAUCCCCGGGCUCAACCUGGGAAUGGCGCUUGUGACUGCAAGGCUAGAGUGCGUCAGAGGGGGGUAGAAUUCCACGUGUAGCAGUGAAAUGCGUAGAGAUGUGGAGGAAUACCGAUGGCGAAGGCAGCCCCCUGGGACGAGACUGACGCUCAUGCACGAAAGCGUGGGGAGCAAACAGGAUUAGAUACCCUGGUAGUCCACGCCCUAAACGAUGUCAACUAGUUGUUGGGGAUUCAUUUCCUCAGUAACGUAGCUAACGCGUGAAGUUGACCGCCUGGGGAGUACGGGUCGCAAGAUUAAAACUCAAAGGAAUUGACGGGGACCCGCACAAGCG
rnacentral:rRNA from 1 species